UGCGCGGCUCUCCAAACACUCAGCCGCGUACAGCUUUAAUAAGGAGGAAAAAUGCAAGCCCCGGCUCGGGCUGCGGCAGCGUUGGAGACCUGUCGUAAGGCGGCGCACCGUUUACCGGUGGUCGCGAGGGCGUUUCAUGCGGAGGCAGAACGCUCGGAGCUGAGAAACAUGGCA
rnacentral:ncRNA from 1 species